rnacentral:rRNA from 1 species
AACGUAGGAGACAAACGUUAUCCGGAGUUACUGGGCGUAAAGGGCGUGUAGGCGGUUAGUUAAGUCUGGCGUGAAAGCUCUCGGCUAAACCGGGAGAGGUCGUUGGAUACUGGCCAACUAGAGGAUGGUAGAGGCGUGUGGAAUUCCGGGUGUAGUGGUGAAAUGCGUAGAGAUCCGGAGGAACACCAGUGGCGAAGGCGACACGCUGGGCCAUACCUGACGCUAAAGCGCGACAGCAUGGGGAGCAAACGGG